AAUAAAAGAAGUUUUAUACUGAUCAUAUCUAACGUUUGACCGUUCGUAUGAUUAAUAUUUUUUAUUAUUAUUAGAUGAUAAAACAUGAAUAAUACUUUACGUGUAACUAAUUUUUUAUAAUCUUUUCAUAAAUUUUUCAAAUAAGAUAGAUGGUUAAAUGUUAGACACGGAUACUCACGGCUAUAAUUAUU
rnacentral:pre_miRNA from 1 species